rnacentral:rRNA from 1 species
ACUCCUACGGGAGGCAGCAGUGGGGAAUAUUGCACAAUGGGCGCAAGCCUGAUGCAGCCAUGCCGCGUGUGUGAAGAAGGCCUUCGGGUUGUAAAGCACUUUCAGUCGUGAGGAAGGUAGUGUAGUUAAUACCUGCAAUCUGUGACGUUACCUACAGAAGAAGCACCGGCUAACUCCGUGCCAGCAGCCGCGGUAAUACGGAGGGUGCGAGCGUUAAUCGGAAUUACUGGGCGUAAAGCGCAUGCAGGUGGCUUUGUUAAGUCAGAUGUGAAAGCCCGGGGCUCAACCUCGGAA